UCUGCUCAGUGAGCUCCGUGUUCAAGUCAAACUCCGGUGGGAAGGCAGAGAUCCAGUACGUGACCAGGGAAAGAGAAAGGCCUGAUCUGGGAAGGCUGGAGAAACUGAGGAUGGACUGGAUGACAUUGAUGCUACUGCCUCAUGACAAAAUCUGAUGCAGGUAAGCCAGGGCAACUUCAAUACGAAGACUUUGGAAUGUCUUCAUAUAUUUGAGGCUAAGUGAAGACCUCUCCACUGAAGCAGGC
rnacentral:lncRNA from 13 species